rnacentral:rRNA from 1 species
UACGGGGGGGGGCAAGCGUUGUUCGGAAUUACUGGGCGUAAAGGGCUCGUAGGCGGCCAACUAAGUCAGACGUGAAAUCCCUCGGCUUAACCGGGGAACUGCAUCUGAUACUGGAUGGCUUGAGUUCGGGAGAGGGAUGCGGAAUUCCAGGUGUAGCGGAUGAAAUGCGUAGAUAUGUGGAGGAACACCGAUGGCGAAGGCAGCCCCCUGGGCUAACACUGACGCCUCAU